UCGUGCGACCCAAGCCCCUGCAUUCC
rnacentral:piRNA from 1 species